CCCAGUUUAGUGGUCUAAGGCGGUGGUUUUAAGUCAUUCAAAUCUUGAACACCAUUAUCGAGAGAUGCGCAGGUUCGAACCCUGCAGCUGGCA